rnacentral:rRNA from 1 species
CAGUAGCCGCGGUAAUACGGAGGGUGCAAGCGUUAAUCGGAAUUACUGGGCGUAAAGCGCACGCAGGCGGUCUGACAAGUCAGAUGUGAAAUCCCCGGGCUUAACCUGGGAACUGCAUUUGAAACUGUCAGGCUGGAGUCUUGUAGAGGGGGGUGGAAUUCCAGGUGUAGCGGUGAAAUGCGUAGAGAUCUGGAGGAAUACCGGUGGCGAAGGCGGCCCCCUGGACAAAGACUGACGCUCAGGUGCGAAAGCGUGGGGAGCAAACAGGAUUAGAGACCCCUGUAGUCCCUGUCUCUUAUAA